UGGAUUUUGAUGUUGGGGGAAAAAGCCUCUUGGAUCUUCUUGAUGCUAAUCUCAACAAUCUUGACGAUUUCGGCCAUGACAUUUACAAUAACAGGGACAAUCAUAUUAUUCAAGCCAGCCUGCAAUCGGAUUUGGGAUUUUGGUGACCUUUUCUUGAAUCAUCAUAUGACGAAUGGAUGAUUUAAUUAUUGCUGCUUUCAUUCAAGGGACUUGACUAGCUUACAGAAUGUGUAAGCUACAGUCAUUCAAGUAUGUUGCUCCGUCUAUUUAAUUCUGUUAACUGACAGUUGAGCUGUCACAAAUGACAGAUCUGUUGGAUUGUUCGGUAAAUAUCUGUAGCUUUGCUUUGAACUCACCAUUUAUUUUACCGUAGAAUUGUUUGUUGAAAAAUCUAUGUUACUGAUUAUUUAUCAAUAAAAUAAGGAUAGUACUCUUCAUGUUAAGUAAAGUUUCCUAAUUGUUGUUAUCCACGAACUGUUUUAAUUAAUAAUAAUAACAAUGACAAUAAACAAAAGUUGGUUGGUGUGAGUGGUUUGAUACUCUCACUUUUUAAGAGAGAUCAUGGGUUCAAACUCCGUUCUCGUAUGGAGUCACUAUUUUGACUAGUACUUUACCCCUUAUGGGCCGACCCGGUGCGAUCGAUGAUUAGUCUAGGUUGUGGUACGUGCUUUAAAGAUGUCUCCUACAAUUGAAGCCCACUCAGGACCACCUCGUGGUUUAGACAAAAAAAAAUAAUAAUAACAAUAAUAAAAUAUUAAAAAUAUUUUAAUUAUAGAUGAUCCAUUAUUUAUCGUUUUUAUUGUAGAAAAGUGAAACUAAAAAAAUUAUAUUUUUUAUUAGUAUGUUUACUUUAUUUAAAAGUCAAAAUAAAUUAUUUUAUGUUCUCAAAAUAUCUUUAAUAAAUUAUUAUUAUUAUUAUUGUUAUUAUUAUGGUAGAAAUAAGAAUAGCUAACUUAUGGUGCGUUUGAGAUUGAGGUUGGACAGACUUACAGUACUAAAGUGUUUGAUAAAUACUAGCUAAUGUAGCUUGGAAGCUAUAUUAAUAUAAUUUUUUACUUAUAUGAUAAAAAAUUUAUUGUAUCUUUAAUAAUUUUGAUAAAAUUAUUAUGCAGAAGAAGAUUAGUUGACUUGAGGAUUCUAUUAAUUAAUGUGUGUAAGUAAUAUAUUAUUAAGCAGAUGGGCUCUUAUAGCUGGGAGACUUCCAGGACGAACAGAUAAUGAUAUCAAGAAUUACUGGAACACCAAGUUAUCCAAGAGAGUAGACGCAAAUCAUCAUCAUCAUCAUCAAAACCGUUCCAAAGUUGAGAAGAAACCAAAGACCAGAUCGAGCUCAGGUGUUGUGCCGCGCCCCCAAUACAAAAAAACUGAGAAACAUGACGCUGCUGGCGGUGUCGCUGAUGACGAUGAUGAUCGUGAGGCUCCAAUUUUAUUUGACUAUGUGCCCGUACAAUCUCAGUUCAGUUAUGGGUGUAAAGAAGAAAAAUCCUCCGGCUCUGAUCAUGAGUACACGGUGGAUUUUGAUGUUGGGGGAAAAAGCCUCUUGGAUCUUCUUGAUGCUAAUCUCAACAAUCUUGACGAUUUCGGCCAUGACAUUUACAAUAACAGGGACAAUCAUAUUAUUCAAGCCAGCCUGCAAUCGGAUUUGGGAUUUUGGUGACCUUUUCUUGAAUCAUCAUAUGACGAAUGGAUGAUUUAAUUAUUGCUGCUUUCAUUCAAGGGACUUGACUAGCUUACAGAAUGUGUAAGCUACAGUCAUUCAAGUAUGUUGCUCCGUCUAUUUAAUUCUGUUAACUGACAGUUGAGC
rnacentral:lncRNA from 1 species